rnacentral:rRNA from 1 species
AACCUGCCUUUGAGAAGGGGAUAACUGUCCGAAAGGAUAGCUAAUACCCUAUAUUGCCUUUUGUCACUAAGGCAAAAAGUGAAAGCGAGGCUGUCAAAGGCUUCGGCUCAAAGAGGGGUUCGCGUCCUAUCAGGUAGUUGGUGGGGUAAUGGCCUACCAAGCCAAUGACGGGUAGCUGGUCUUAGAGGAUGAUCAGCCACAGUGGGACUGAGACACGGCCCGCACCCCUACGGGGGGCAGCAGUGGGGAAUCGUGGGCAAUGGGCGCAAGCCUGACCCCGCAAUGCCGCGUGAGGGAAGAAGCCCUUCGGGGUGUAAACCUCUGUCAGGUGGGAAGAUGGGACUAGGGGCUAAUACCUCCUGGUCUUGACGGUACCAUCAGAGGAAGGGACGGCUA